GGGGGGUAUUUUGUUUGGAUAAUUGAAUGUUCGGAUAAAUGAUCACAAUCGGGGAAAUAUCUUAAAUCAAGUUAACACAAACAGGAGGUUGAAUUAAUUUAAUAUUUAAACACUUGCACCAGCCAGAGACAACUCAGCUGGUGGGAAGACCACCCUCGGGUGUACACCGACCUGCGGUCUCCAACCUCUUCAACCGGACUCCAAAGCCACCUUCCCCUCUCCUCUCCUUUGCUGCUUCUUCUUCGGUUCUCUCCCGUUAGCAACCACCAGCCCUGUGCAUCCUCCACUGCCACCAAGUGGAAACUGCGGCCUCGCACAAACGGUCCCAGGGCCAAGGCACAAAGCAGGUGCAACGUCGUCUCCCUCCGGGUCCUCGCACAACAGUUCCACCACCUUCUGGAAACCCGUCGCAGGAGCUAGACAACCGGAACCUCUACUCUUAAAUUUACCUCAAUCAUUUUAUAUUUUAAAUCCAGAAGCAGAAAGAAAGAAAACAAAUGACUGAGGCAGAGCGGGAGUGACAGGUGGGCAGUCUGUCUUGGAAAGAGAGUUUCUGCAGGAAGCUACAGAGUCCGGUUUCCAAUCUCAAACUUCAGGACCUUGAGCUCUUGUUUGGAUAAUCUGAAAUUCAGAUAACUGAUGUUCAGAUAACUGAGUUUGUUCUGUACACUGUGCGCCGGAGAGAAACUUAGACGGCAGUCGUUCCUGACAUGAAAGUCAGAGUGGUCACAAGUUUCUACGUUCUUAUACUCCAUUGGAUCUGUGCCAACUCCAGCUCUUACCACUUGCUCCUCAGGAUCACCAUCUUGGAAAACACACAGAGCCAUCCUGUCAGGGUACAGUACACAGGCAGUGACUGACUGCACCCAUGCCAACAGAUAUUGGCAUUCAAGACAUACCAGCCUCUCUGAACUAUUAGAAGUCACAAGACAGCAAGUUAUAGUCAAACAGAUUGAUUUAAAAUCACAAGCCUUUGGAGCUCUGCCCCUUAGUCAGGUGAAGUGGUGGGAAGCACAGGCACUGAAUUGACAAGUAGAGAGAUAAUCGCAAGAUAGUUCCAGAUCUUCAGCAUCCGCAGUUCUUGGACUUAAUUGAUUAAUCUGGAUUAAUUAACCUGGUAUCAGGCUUCUUGAGUGUUGUUGGAGUUGCACCCAUCCAGGCAAGUGUAGAAUAUCCCAUUACACUCCUGCCCUUUGCCUUCUAGAUGAUGGAGAGGUCAAAGGAAAAUUCAAAUUAACCGUGUUUCACUUGGAUUGUUGGGUUACGGAAUUGCACUGGCUGGAAGUAGGACUUGCAUUUAUACAGCGCCUUUCAUAACAUCAGGACAUCCUCAGGAACAGCCUCUCUAUAUCUACUCUGUUCAGGCCCCUCUUGAUUUUGAACACUUCUUUCAAAUCUCCACUCAGCACUCUGGAAAACAGUCUCACUCUUACCUUCUGCAAUCUAUCUGCAUCGCUGAAGUCCAUCACCCUCAAGCACUGAGGAGACAGGUGGUGCCAGGGUCACAAGAGCUGCAGCAAUUUGUAAGAAUCUGCUUAAGAUUAUUACGGAGAUUCAACAGAAAUAGGCUGACCAUUAUUGGAACGUGUUACAAUUCUCAAAGGUGUUGAGUCACGAGAGAGAUCUGUCAAUGCUACUAUUGUGCAUUGGUUCAGACAAUGGCACAUACCAUGGGUGGCUUCACCACUGCCUGUGAGACAAUUAACCAAUAAAAAGGCAAGCAGCCUCUGGUUAGACAAUUAUGUAAAAUACUAAUUAUGAUGAAACUCAAUUGUGUGUGAUAUUUUGGUGUAAAGUUUUGUUCGAUGUGAGCUGAGAAUGAUUACACUUCACAACAGGCAGUAAUUGACCAAGUGUGAUAUCAAGGGCCCAAACAAAAUUAGAAUCAAUGGAAAUCAGGGGACAAACAUUCCCUUGUUUGGAGUCACAAAGGUUGUGGUUGUUGGACGUUAAUCAUCUCAGCUCCAGGACAUCUCUGCUGGAUGUUCCUCAGGGUAAAGCCCAAGGCCUAACCAUCUUCAUUAAUGACCUUCACUCCAUCAUAACAUCAGAUGUGGGGAUGUUCAUUCACAAUUACAAAAUGAUCAUCAAAAUUCCCGUCUCCUUAGAUACUGAAGCAGUCCAUGACUAAAUGCAGAAAACUAAACAACAUCCAGGCUCCAGCUGACAAGUGGCAAGUAUUUUCCUUUUAUUGAUUAAAGCUGUCGCCUUUGUGGUGACUGUGUCAGCUGUACUUCUCCACCUCUCAUAUGUUACAAAUUUAACAGAAAAUCCAGCUCCAGCUUCUCAUGACAACCAUAUCAGAGCAAUAAAUGCAACUUUGUCAUCCAAGCAUAAAUAACACAAAACUAAAGUUGCUUAGUUUUAUGCACUGUCCGUACAUUUCCUAAUUCCUUUUCCUCCCAUGCAUACAGAAUUGCUCAGGCUGCUGGUUACAACAAUAUAUUAAACUUGGUCAGAAAGAUGAUAGUUGGUUGCUAUUGCAAAAGGAUAAAUCAUCGAAUCAAGAAGAAAGAUUUUAAAAUUCCUUUACAACUAUGAAAGAGAAAAGAUCUUUAAUCAAUACAGAUAUAAUGUCACUACAAAUAGCAAUCACGCAGUUCCUUUCAGAAAUAAUGGAGAGAGUUCAUGCUAAAUUUUUCAUCCACUUAUUCA